CUGGCUGGCUGCUUGUCCAAUGCCCACAUAAGAUGAGGGAGCCGCUGCAGGACGAGGAGUACAGUACCUCAGUCUGUCUUUAUACAGGGCGGCCUGUGGCCGGGUUGCCAUGGUGAACUCCGGGUCUUGGAGAGCAGGCAGUGUCGUCGUUAUGACACCGCCCGGAAGCCCGUACCCAGAAGUGAUUCACCAGAGGCGGACCAGCAGCACCGGGCGCGUCUGGGAGGUGAGAGUGGCGUGGACCAGCAGCGGAGGUAUAUGAGGCGGAACCAGCAGGAACUCAGGGGCAGAUUUAUUAAGCUUGGUGAAGUGAUAAAUUGGAAGGUGAUAAAGGACCAGCCCCUGCU